GCACCAGAAAUGGAUUUUGGGUUUAUCCAAAUCUCAUCACCUUAUUUAGGUGGAUUUAUGUGGGCCGUACGUUUCAUCAUCCACAUUCCUAACUGGGCCUCCCUGUCUCCUAAAAGUGAAAAACAUGGAAUAUGCUAAGGCGUCCAAUAAAUGUCCACCAAUAGCAUAGUCAUAU